rnacentral:rRNA from 1 species
AGCAGCCGCGGUAAUUCCAGCUCCAAUAGCGUAUAUUAAAGUUGUUGCAGUUAAAAAGCUCGUAGUUGAAUUUCGGGAUCAGUACGUUGGUCGUGCCAUCGGUACGUACUGGUGUUACUGGUUCCUACCUUCUGAGGAACCGUCAUGUCAUUAAUUUGGUGUGGUGGGAAAUCAGGACUGUUACUUUGAAAAAAUUAGAGUGUUUAAAGCAGGCUCGCGCUUGAAUACAUUAGCAUGGAAUAAUGAAAUAGGACGUUCGAUCCUAUUUUGUUGGUUUCUAGGAUUGACGUAAUGAUUAAUAGGGAUAGUUGGGGGCAUUAGUAUUCAAUUGUCAGAGGUGAAAUUCUUGGAUUUAUUGAAGACUAACUACUGCGAAAGCAUUUGCCAAGGAUGUUUUCAUUAAUCAAGAACGAAAGUUAGGGGAUCGAAGACGAUCAGAUACCGUCGUAGUCUUAACCAUAAACUAUGCCGACUAGGGAUCGGAUGAUGUUUAUUUUUUAAUGUACUCAUUCGGCGUCCGUUACGGGAAAACC